rnacentral:lncRNA from 10 species
CCUCGGGCCCCCACCAGCCCGCCGAACCUGCUUCUUUUGCUGUCUUGAAUCCCGCCCUCUUCUCCUCGCCCAACUUCUCCCAAACCCGCCUUCCCAGAACCUGGACAAUGAGUCCACUUGCAGUACCAGCUUUAGGCCCAGGUUCGGGAUGGCACGUUCCUAAUUCCCUCUUGACCACAAAAUGUGAGGAUCUAGCCUCAAAUCUGCAACGCUUGCGUCUAAGAAAAAAAUUGUUUUUAAAUUUCCAUUUAACAGAAAUACAGAUGCAGAGCCAUAUAAUCAUCGGUCUUUGAUCACUCAGCAAAUCACAGAACAAGGAACAAAUCCUAGAGGGGAUGACAGGCCAGUUUUUGACCCUAUAGCCCAGCAACCUCAACACAGAACCGGAACCUUUCCCACAUUAAUCGCAAGGCAAGCAAGUGACAGAUUUUUACUUUUUAGUUCAAUCUUUUUAAAUCAAUUAUAAAAGAUGACAAAUAUACACCUCUCUUGGGAUACUUUAGAUAGGGCCUUAUAUAAGUAUUAUAUGUCCUAAAAUCAGGCAGAUCUUUCUUUAUCCCCGUCACAUAUUUUACAUUUCUGAAAGUAAAACAGGAAAUUACUUCAAGAAAAUGCCUGGAAGAAAAGCAAAUAUUUUCAAACUAUUCAGAAGAAUGGAAUUUUUCAAAAAUUAAAAGUUGCCAAAGGGAGCCAGGCAUGGUGGGUCACACCUGGAACCUCAGUGCUUUGAGAGGCAGAGACAGGAUGAUCACUUGAGGCCAGCAGUUUGAGACCAGCCUGGGUAACAUAGUGAGACCCUAUCUCUAUAAAAAAUUAAAAAAUUAGCUGGGCCUGGUGGUGCAUGUCUGCAGUCGUAGCCACUCCAAAGUCUGAGGUGGGAGGAUCACUUGAGCCCAGCAGUUUGAGGCUGAAGUGAGCUAUAAUCACGCCACUGCACUCCAGCCUGGGCAAGAGAGCAAGAUCAUCUCUUAAAAAAAGGGAAAAUAAAAUAAAAUAAACUUGCCAAAGGGGAAAAAAAGCAAGUAAUGUCUAAUUAUUUAAAGCCCAAAGAGAGAAAAAACAGCUGUUAUUCCACUAUUAUGCUAUCAUAUUUGGCUGCCCCUUUCACUGGGUUAUUACUAUUGGUAUCUGGGAAUAUACCCGGCCCUUCUCUGAUCUCCUGUGUCCCAACAGUCCAAAGGAGGGGGAUAGCCAGCUGCUUCUCCUUGUCUCAUUGUCUGGCCAUGGGGAAUGCUUUGGCUGUCACUUGCAGCUCCUCUUCUGAGUCUGUAGCGACUGGGGAAGUGCCUAGCUGGUUUUAUCUUUUCUAGAUGCAGAGGAUGCAACAGGGAACCAGAAACGCCUUCCUGAAAAUGUCAUUUGUUUGUAUUUUCUGGGUCUCUUACAGAAUCUCUGGGACUCAUGCAGAGGCAGAAAAGGAUACUCUCUAUCUCCCUAUGACUUUUAUUAAAUCCUAAGAUUUUAAAAUGUAGUAACUGGGACUCAUUCUGAUCUUAGUUGAAUGAAUUCUCAUUACUGUGUUUCUUUUCCAUGUUAAAGAAAUAUAAUAUUUGUGCUUCCUUAAAACUAAAAUUACAACUGAAAUCAGCAUAGUGAGUGGUUCACUUAGAGUGGAAGGUUUAAAGCAAUAG